CUCGUUGUGUCCCUUUAGCGCGUUGGACUUCUAAUCCAAAGGUCGUAGGUUCGAAUCCUACCUGGGAGG